GUGGAUUAGAUACCCUGGUAGUCCUGGCAGUAAACGGUGCACGCUUGGUGUGAGGGGAUUCGACCCCCCUCGUGCCGGAGCAAACGCGUUAAGCGUGCCGCCUGGGAAGUACGGUCGCAAGACUAAAACUCAAAGAAAUUGACGGGGACCCGCACAAGCGGUGGAGUAUGUGGCUUAAUUCGAUGCAACGCGAAGAACCUUACCUGGGCUUGACAUGGAUUUCUAAGCACGUGAAAGCGUGUGACCCUUCGGGGAACUUCCACAGGUGCUGCACGGCUGUCGUCAGCU
rnacentral:rRNA from 1 species